AGAGUUUGAUCAUGGCUCAGAUUGAACGCUGGCGGCAGGCCUAACACAUGCAAGUCGAGCGGUAGCACAGAGAGCUUGCUCUCGGGUGACGAGCGGCGGACGGGUGAGUAAUGUCUGGGAAACUGCCUGAUGGAGGGGGAUAACUACUGGAAACGGUAGCUAAUACCGCAUAACGUCGCAAGACCAAAGUGGGGGACCUUCGGGCCUCAUGCCAUCAGAUGUGCCCAGAUGGGAUUAGCUAGUAGGUGGGGUAACGGCUCACCUAGGCGACGAUCCCUAGCUGGUCUGAGAGGAUGACCAGCCACACUGGAACUGAGACACGGUCCAGACUCCUACGGGAGGCAGCAGUGGGGAAUAUUGCACAAUGGGCGCAAGCCUGAUGCAGCCAUGCCGCGUGUGUGAAGAAGGCCUUCGGGUUGUAAAGCACUUUCAGCGGGGAGGAAGGCGGUAAGGUUAAUAACCUCACCGAUUGACGUUACCCGCAGAAGAAGCACCGGCUAACUCCGUGCCAGCAGCCGCGGUAAUACGGAGGGUGCAAGCGUUAAUCGGAAUUACUGGGCGUAAAGCGCACGCAGGCGGUCUGUCAAGUCGGAUGUGAAAUCCCCGGGCUCAACCUGGGAACUGCAUUCGAAACUGGCAGGCUAGAGUCUUGUAGAGGGGGGUAGAAUUCCAGGUGUAGCGGUGAAAUGCGUAGAGAUCUGGAGGAAUACCGGUGGCGAAGGCGGCCCCCUGGACAAAGACUGACGCUCAGGUGCGAAAGCGUGGGGAGCAAACAGGAUUAGAUACCCUGGUAGUCCACGCCGUAAACGAUGUCGAUUUGGAGGUUGUGCCCUUGAGGCGUGGCUUCCGGAGCUAACGCGUUAAAUCGACCGCCUGGGGAGUACGGCCGCAAGGUUAAAACUCAAAUGAAUUGACGGGGGCCCGCACAAGCGGUGGAGCAUGUGGUUUAAUUCGAUGCAACGCGAAGAACCUUACCUGGUCUUGACAUCCACAGAACUUUCCAGAGAUGGAUUGGUGCCUUCGGGAACUGUGAGACAGGUGCUGCAUGGCUGUCGUCAGCUCGUGUUGUGAAAUGUUGGGUUAAGUCCCGCAACGAGCGCAACCCUUAUCCUUUGUUGCCAGCGGUUAGGCCGGGAACUCAAAGGAGACUGCCAGUGAUAAACUGGAGGAAGGUGGGGAUGACGUCAAGUCAUCAUGGCCCUUACGACCAGGGCUACACACGUGCUACAAUGGCAUAUACAAAGAGAAGCGACCUCGCGAGAGCAAGCGGACCUCAUAAAGUAUGUCGUAGUCCGGAUUGGAGUCUGCAACUCGACUCCAUGAAGUCGGAAUCGCUAGUAAUCGUAGAUCAGAAUGCUACGGUGAAUACGUUCCCGGGCCUUGUACACACCGCCCGUCACACCAUGGGAGUGGGUUGCAAAAGAAGUAGGUAGCUUAACCUUCGGGAGGGCGCUUACCACUUUGUGAUUCAUGACUGGGGUGAAGUCGUAACAAGGUAACCGUAGGGGAACCUGCGGUUGGAUCACCU
rnacentral:rRNA from 1 species